rnacentral:tRNA from 1 species
GCCUGGGUGGCUUAGUCGGUUAAGCAUCUGCCUUCCACUCAGGUCAUGAUUCUAGGAUCCUGGGAUCAAGCCCCAGAUUGGGCU